ensembl:lncRNA
CCACGCCUGUGCUUCGCCGCGGAGCCUUCGCUCGAAAUGGUCGAGCAUUUAGGGAAUGCCAGUUGUAUCCCGAGCGCUGCGCUGAGGGAUUGGGGAUCUAAGAGCCUACGGGAGCAAGGUGGAAAGGGUUAUCUACAUAUUCAUGAGUUCAUCAACCAAUCCACAGCCUGAACUCCGGUCUUUAGCGCCUAGGCGAUUGUGAUGUCACAGGGACGCCUCUUGUGAUCCUUAAAGACGCAGUAACCUCUCCCGAAGAAGGAAGGUUGCAACCACAACUGCAGGAUUCGCUUCGGAGUUUGAAGUGUGCUCCGGCCCAGGACCCAGGGGCUUGAGUGCGGAAGAGCAGUGGUCUAGCCCAUCAUAGCCCACCUGGACCUGUCCCCUCGCCUCUGCCCUCGUCUCUGCCCUCGUCUCUGGACUCUCUCCGUCACAACAAAAUCUGCAGAGACAUCACUGGAUCUGUGUACGGAUGGGGAAAUCGGGGCUCGAAGAUAAACCCAGUGAGAUGGGAGACGCGAGUUGUGCACUCCUUAGGGACGCUUUCCAGGGAGAAGUGUCAUUUGAGUAGGGCUUCAAAGGAAGGGGGUGCCGGUCAAGGAUCAGCAGAAGGCGUUGUUUCUAGUGACAGGAGGAGCACUGGCCGAGGUCCAGACUGGUGGCCCAAAGAAGCUAGUUGUGAAAGCUCAUACCUGUCGUCUCACUCAGGAAGCUGAGGCAGGAGGAUCAUGAGUUCCAGUCCAGCCUGGGCUGGGGAUUUAGCUCAGUGGUUUCACCGCCUGCCUCGCAAGCGCAAGGUCCUGAGUUCAAUCCCCGGUACCUAAAAAAUAAAAAAUGAAUAGGGCUGGAGUCGUAGCUCAGUGUUUGAGCAGCCCUCAGUUCAAUCUCAACUAAUGCAAAAAAAAGGGGGAAGAAGAUUUUUAAAUUUAUUGUACUUUAUUUAGCCCAUGUUGGGGCCGGGGAUUUAGCUGAGUGGUUCUGCUGCUUGCCUUGCAGGCGCAAGGUACCGAGUUCGAUCCCCAGUACCAAAAAAAAGAAGUAUUUAGCCCAUGUUUGCAGUACGAAACAACCGCAUUCAUCCUGGGGAGUCAGCCCAUGGACAUAACCCAUCUUAACUCUUUUUUUGCUCCCUUCCCCUCCCUCUAUCUCUUGAUCCCUUUUCUUUUUCCUUUUUUUUUUGGUACCAGGGAUCGAACUCGGGUCCUUGCGCUUGCGCAGCAGGCGGCGAAACCACUGAGCUAAAUCCCCAGCUCCUUGAUCCCUUUUCCUGUUGCAAAAGAUCUAUCUCCCUCUUUCCUAUAUCUACUUUUUAUUUUGCUCUUUCUUUAUGUUCCGAGUUUCCUAUAUAAGAGAAACCACAUGACAUUUAAGCUUGUGUGUCUGAUUAUUUCACUUAACAUUAUGGUUUCAAGGUGCAUCCAUUUUUCUACGGAUGACUCAAAUUUAUCCUUCUUUAUGGUAGAAAAAAUGUUUUAUGGUCUGGCUUUAUUUUUAGGUUUCUGAUCCUCCUGGCAUCAAUUUUGGUCUCUGGUGUGAGGCAUGGGCUCAGAUUACUUUGGCUAUUGUUAUUGUAAAU